rnacentral:rRNA from 1 species
GACGAACGCUGGCGGCGUGCUUAACACAUGCAAGUCGAACGGAAAGGCCUGCUUUCCCUUGUGGAUUGCGGAUACUCGAGUGGCGAACGGGUGAGUAACACGUGAGUGAUCUGCCCCCAACUUGGGUAUAAGCCUGGGAAACUGGGUCUAAUUCCCGAUAGGACUGCAGGGUGGUGCCUGUGGUGGAAAACGAUUUUCUAGUGGUUGGGGAUGAGCUCGCGGCCUAUCAGCUUGUUGGUGGGGUAAUGGCCUACCAAGGCGGCGACGGGUAGCCGGCCUGAGAGGGUGGACGGCCACAUUGGGACUGAGAUACGGCCCAGACUCCUACGGGAGGCAGCAGUGGGGAAUAUAGCACAAUGGGAGGAAGCCUGAUGCAGCGACGCCGCGUGGGGGAUGACGGCCUUCGGGUUGUAAACUCCUUUCGACCGCGAGGAAGCCACCUGGUUGGAAGGGUGGUGACGGUAGUGGUAGAAGAAGCACCGGAUAACUACGUG